UACGUAGGUGGCAAGCGAUACUCGGAAUCACUAGGCGUAAAGCGCAGGUAGGCGGUUUGAUAAGUCUUUUGUGAAAGCUCCCGGCUUAACUGGGAGAGGUCAAGGGAAACUGUCAGGCUAGAGUUUGGUAGGGGAUACUGGAAUUCCCGGUGUAGCGGUGAAAUGCGUAGAUAUCGGGAAGAACACCAAAGGCGAAAGCACUUUGCUGGGCCGAAACUGACACUGAUAGACGAAAGCUAGGGGAGCAAAUGGG
rnacentral:rRNA from 1 species